rnacentral:rRNA from 1 species
UACGAAGGGGGCUAGCGUUGCUCGGAAUCACUGGGCGUAAAGCGCACGUAGGCGGAUCUUUAAGUCAGGGGUGAAAUCCUGGAGCUCAACUCCAGAACUGCCUUUGAUACUGGGGAUCUCGAGUCCGGAAGAGGUGAGUGGAACUGCGAGUGUAGAGGUGAAAUUCGUAGAUAUUCGCAAGAACACCAGUGGCGAAGGCGGCUCACUGGUCCGGUACUGACGCUGAGGUGCGAAAGCGUGGGGAGCAAACAGG